AACCGAGUCUGAAAAGGGCGGUUAAGUACGUAGAUGUAGACCCGAAACCAAGUGACCUACCCAUGAGCAGGUUGAAGGUGCGGUAAAACGCACUGGAGGACCGAACCAGGACACGUUGAAAAGUGUUUGGAUGACUUGUGGGUAGCGGAGAAAUUCCAAACGAACUUGGAGAUAGCUGGUUCUCUCCGAAAUAGCUUUAGGGCUAGCGUCGGUCGCGAGACUCUUGGAGGUAGAGCACUGUUUGAUUGAGGGGUCCAUCCCGGAUUACCAAUCUCAGAUAAACUCCGAAUGCCAACGAGUUAAGACCGGCAGUCAGACUGCGAGUGCUAAGAUCCGUAGUCGAAAGGGAAACAGCCCAGACCACCAGCUAAGGUCCCUAAAUAAUUGUUAAGUGGAAAAGGAUGUGGGGUUGCACAGACAACUAGGAUGUUAGCUUAGAAGCAGCUAUUCAUUCAAAGAGUGCGUAAUAGCUCACUAGUCGAGUGACCCUGCGCCGAAAAUGUACCGGGGCUGAAACAAUUUACCGAAGCUGUGGAUCCCUUAGGGGAUGGUAGGAGAGCGUUCUAUGUGCGCAGAAGGUGUACCGCAAGGAGCGCUGGAGUGCAUAGAAGUGAGAAUGCCGGUAUGAGUAGCGUAAGACAGGUGAGAAUCCUGUCCACCGUAAGACUAAGGAUUCCAGGGGAAGGCUCGUCCGCCCUGGGUUAGUCGGGACCUAAGGAGAGACCGAUAGGUGUAUCCGAUGGGCAACAGGUUGAUAUUCCUGUACUAGAGUAUUGAGUGAAGGAGGGACGCAGCAGGCUAACUAGAGCGUGCGAUUGGAAGAGCACGUCCAAGCAGUGAGGUGAGGACUGAGUCAAAUGCUUAGUUCUGUGCCACCAAGCUGUGACGGGGAGCGAAGUUUAGUAGCGAAGCUAGUGAUGUCACUCUGCCAAGAAAAGCUUCUAGCGUUAAUGAAUACUCUACCCGUACCGCAAACCGACACAGGUAGUCGAGGCGAGUAGCCUCAGGUGAGCGAGCGAACUCUCGUUAAGGAACUCGGCAAAAUGGCCCCGUAACUUCGGGAGAAGGGGCGCUGGCGAUAAGUCAGCCGCAGUGAAAAGGCCCAAGCAACUGUUUAUCAAAAACACAGCUCUCUGCGAAAUCGUAAGAUGAAGUAUAGGGGGUGACGCCUGCCCGGUGCUGGAAGGUUAAGAGGAGCGCUUAGACGUUUGUCGAAGGUGUGAAUUGAAGCCCCAGUAAACGGCGGCCGUAACUAUAACGGUCCUAAGGUAGCGAAAUUCCUUGUCGGGUAAGUUCCGACCCGCACGAAAGGCGUAAUGAUUUGGGCACUGUCUCAACGAGAGACUCGGUGAAAUUUUAGUACCUGUGAAGAUGCAGGUUACCCGCGACAGGACGGAAAGACCCCAUGGAGCUUUACUGCAGUUUGAUAUUGCGUAUCUGUUACACAUGUACAGGAUAGGUAGGAGCCAAGGAAAAGUGAACGCUAGUUUACUUGGAGGCGUUGUUGGGAUACUACCCUUGUGUGAUGGCUACUCUAACCCGGUAGGUUGAUCAUCUACGGAGACAGUGUCUGACGGGCAGUUUGACUGGGGCGGUCGCCUCCUAAAGCGUAACGGAGGCGCCCAAAGGUUCCCUCAGACUGGUUGGAAAUCAGUCGCAGAGUGUAAAGGUAUAAGGGAGCUUGACUGCGAGACAGACAAGUCGAGCAGGGACGAAAGUCGGGCUUAGUGAUCCGGUGGUACCGUAUGGAAGGGCCAUCGCUCAACGGAUAAAAGCUACCCUGGGGAUAACAGGCUUAUCUCCCCCAAGAGUUCACAUCGACGGGGAGGUUUGGCACCUCGAUGUCGGCUCGUCGCAUCCUGGGGCUGUAGUCGGUCCCAAGGGUUGGGCUGUUCGCCCAUUAAAGCGGCACGCGAGCUGGGUUCAGAACGUCGUGAGACAGUUCGGUCCCUAUCCGUCGCGGGCGAAGGAAAUUUGAGAGGAUCUGCUCCUAGUACGAGAGGACCAGAGUGGACUUACCGCUGGUGUACCAGUUGUUCUGCCAAGAGCAUCGCUGGGUAGCUAAGUAGGGAGGGGAUAAACGCUGAAAGCAUCUAAGUGUGAAGCCCCCCUCAAGAUGAGAUUUCCCAUAACGUUCAGUUAGUAAGAGCCCUGAGAGAAGAACAGGUAGAUAGGUUGGGAGUGGAAGCGUUGUGAGACGUGAAGCGGACCAAUACUAAUCGCUCGAGGACUUAUCCAA
rnacentral:rRNA from 1 species